GUGCUCAACAGAAGGGGUGACGCCAUAUGGAUGCCAUGUUAUGGGAGCCUGUCACCUGCUAACUGAGAUGAGAAAUUACAGGUUAUAAUCCCCUUCCUGCUGUCUGAGGAUCCCAGGUUCAAAAGAUAGCCAGGCAGGAGUUAUUUUAUAGAAUGGAAGUAAUUUCUAAGGUGCCAAACAAUAGUAAGGAAAUUAGAAGUCAAGGACUAUCUUCCAAAUGAAGAAGAAGCUCCAUCAACCAAUGAAUGAAAUUAUGGUCAUGCUUGCCAUCCUGUGCCUUUUGGGUAUCCAGGAUGAAGGGGAGGAUUGGGGUCUUGAACAAUGAAAGGACAACAUGACUGCCAAAAGAACCCAUCGUGACUGUAGGCAUAUUUUCCAUCCUUAUCCUGCAGGCUUCCUGUCUGUUGUUGGCCCCUGACCAAUUUUGCUCCUGGGAAGUCUGAGAUGAAACAUGAUUUGUAUAAAAUGAUGCUCAACCUCACUUAUCAUCAGGGAAAUGCGAGUCAAAACCACAAUAAAAUAUCACCUCAUGCUUGUUAGGAUGGCUGUUAUCAAGCAAACAAGAAAGAAGUGUUGGUGAGUGUGAGAAGAAAAGAACAUAUUUGCAUACUGUUGGUGGGAAUAUAAGUUGGUAAAGCCAUUAUAAAAAGAAAUAUGAAGGAUUCUCAAAAAA